GGAUACACCUCAUGCAUCCUCCGAAUUCCCGUGAAAGAAGGUCGCAUUCGAAGGCUGCAUUCAAAGUGUCCUACUCGCUUUUCUGAAACGAGACAGUCUCGAUGAUGUAUGCGGCCGACAAAAGUGACCUCCUGAGGACGCAGCCUUCCAAAGGGGAGACAGCCAUUGAAAAUUAAUGAGAAGAGGUCGCUUUGUCGCUGGAAGUCGCUGCAUGUGUGUACGCUGCUUCAGACUGCAGACCAACACGCUCAGGCUCACCUGCACUCUCAGCUUUCUGUGACGUCAGUGGCAAGCGCAUAAGAAAUUUGACCUCCAUUAGCAAUUGCAGGCAUGGCUAUGCACCAUUCAAUUUUAUCAACGGAUAAAAACCCUGUGCAACCACAGUGCACAUCAUGUUGCAGGCUUUUCCAUUGUCCUUUAUGCCCUGCCCUGAAGCCAACCAAACAUUUAAAAAAGGCAAUCAUUUUUUAAAGGAGUGUGUCAUAGUGGACCUUAUGACUGGAAGUCAGUGGUGUGUAGAAAACUCAGAUUUUCUUCUUGGAUCAGUUCAGCUGCCACGCAUACUCUGCAUGCACAGUAAAAAACAUGAAUUGGUUAACGGGUAAAAAAUGAUAAAGUAUUUAAAAAGAAAAUACAGAUGUAAAAAGUGUGAUUUUACCAUAUAAUUAUCAGUAAAAAUGUAUAUUAUGUUUAAUAAGAGAGCACAUGUACUUUUUACAGUAAAUUAUUGUUAAAAUUGUGGUAAAAGGAACAAUAACCGGGCGUUCCCAGAAUUCCUUGCGUGACCCAUUACAUUUCAUUAUAUUUUAUGGGAAUAGUUCUGUUUCUUCUUUUUUAAUAUCACUUAUCUACAUUAGGGUGUUCUGUGUUAUAUUUUAUUUAGAUUAGUUAAUGUUUAUUGCAUUAUUUUAAUUUCACAUUUGUUACCCUGAUAGUGUUUAGUGUUUGUGUGAGUGACACUGAGCACUGUCUCUACAUGUUUAUUGAUCACUGCUCUUGGAAAGGCUAAUAUUGAUGAACUUCAUGUCAUCAUGUGCCUUUUUGUAAUUACAUUAUAAAGUGAAAAGCAGAUUUUUACAGUUUCAGAAGGUUAAAGUAUUUAGUGUUUAGUGUUUGUGUGUUUAAUAAUAACUGUUUAAUAACAUUUAAUAAUAAAAAACGGUAAUGCUCUGUAAAAUGUACAGGCAUCACAAUGACAUCCCGUAAAGCCUGAAGUGUGGUUACCAUAUUUUUUACAGUGAAUUUCUGGCAACCACAGCUGCCAGUUUUUUACUGUAAAUUUAACAGGAUUUUUUUUUACAGUGUGGAGGACGAAGAUAUUGCUGAGGCUGUGGACAAUUUAGUCAGUGCAGAGUUCCCAGAAGUGAGGCAUGUUGCUGUGGAGCCUUUCUGCUCUGUUUUUACAGGAAUGCAUGUUGUCGACAAAAUGAAACUGAAAGUGUACUGUUGUGCAGAUUUUUUUAAAGAUUUUUUAAAUGUAAGCCUUUAAAAUAAUAAUAAAAAUAAAAUAAUGUGUCAUUUCUGGGGGAGAGCGGUUAGUUUUAAAAGACCGAAUUAUUG